UACAGAGGGUGCGAGCGUUGUUCGGAAUUAUUGGGCGUAAAGCGCUUGUAGGCGGCACGUCAAGUCGCGUGUGAAAUCCCCAGGCUUAACCUGGGAAGUGCGCGCGAAACUGACGAGCUUGAGUGCCGGAGAGGGUCGCGGAAUUCCCGGUGUAGAGGUGAAAUUCGUAGAUAUCGGGAGGAACACCAGUGGCGAAGGCGGCGACCUGGGCAGAUACUGACACUGAGGUGCGAAAGCGUGGGGAGCAAACAGG
rnacentral:rRNA from 1 species